rnacentral:lncRNA from 1 species
UGCUAUGUAUAUAUUUGAAACAGUUAGAUACAUGCUUGACAGACUAUAUAGGGGUGAUCAAAACCAUGCGAAGCAUUAUGGGACAAGUUUCUCUACCUUAAAUAAGUGUUCGUUCUCUCGUGUUUACUAUUCGUUUAAGGGUCAUCAACCCGUGUAUUUAUUUUCAUUGACCAAGUUUUACAUUUUUCUUCUGUAGUGUUCAUUGUGCAGUUCUAGAUUGUUAAGAGAGUAGAGUUUAUUGAUUUAUUACAUGGAGAGACCAGUAGUGUCGUAGUGGUCUUGACAUAAUUGCUAACAUUUUCUACUAGACAAAGUUUAAUUGCACUAAAUACAAAUUAGAACAUGCAUAGACAUUUAUCUUCUUUCUACAGAAUGGUUAGUGUAAACGUACUUUGAGUUGUACAUGAUUCUGUAUCUGACCAUUUUAUCUCAUAUGUUGAUGUGGUUGCAGAUAUGAACUUCAAAUUAUCCUGCAAUGUAUUGACUGCUCGGAGCUAACUUGACUACGCCAGUUUUCUUUUAUGGCUCAAAGUAGUUAGUGUCCCC